GAUGAACGCUGGCGGCGUGCUUAACACAUGCAAGUCGAACGGAAAGGCCCAAGCUUGCUUGGGUACUCGAGUGGCGAACGGGUGAGUAACACGUGGGUGAUCUGCCCUGCACUUCGGGAUAAGCCUGGGAAACUGGGUCUAAUACCGGAUAGGACCACAUUUUGGAUGGUGUGGUGGAAAGUUUUUCGGUGUGGGAUGAGCUCGCGGCCUAUCAGCUUGUUGGUGGGGUAAUGGCCUACCAAGGCGUCGACGGGUAGCCGGCCUGAGAGGGUGUACGGCCACAUUGGGACUGCGAUACGGCCCAGAGUCCUACGGGAGGCAGCAGUGGGGAAUAUUGCACAAUGGGCGCAAGCCUGAUGCAGCGACGCCGCGUGGGGGAUGACGGCCUUCGGGUUGUAAACUCCUGUCGCUAGGGACGAAGCGCAAGUGACGGUACCUGGAGAAGAAGCACCGGCUAACUACGUG
rnacentral:rRNA from 1 species